rnacentral:rRNA from 1 species
GCUUGUCUCAAAGAUUAAGCCAUGCAUGUCUAAGUCUAAAUAUUUUUACACUGUGAAACUGCGAAUGGCUCAUUAUAUCAGUUAUAGUUUAUUUGAUGGUCCUUGCUACUUGGAUAACCGUAGUAAUUCUAGAGCUAAUACAUGCAUCAAAACCCGACUUCUGGAAGGGUUGUACUUAUUAGAUCAAAACCUAACAAGGGAAACCUUGGAUUUUGGUGAUUCAUAAUAAUUUGCGGAUCGAUUUAUCGAUGCAUCAUUCAAGUUUCUGCCCUAUCAGCUUUGGAUGGUAGGGUAUUGGCCUACCAUGGCUUUAACGGGUAACGGAGAAUUAGGGUUCGAUUCCGGAGAGGGAGCCUGAGAAAUGGCUACCACAUCCAAGGAAGGCAGCAGG